GACGAACGCUGGCGGCGUGCUUAACACAUGCAAGUCGAACGGUGAAGGGACCGGUUUUUGCUGGUUCUGGAUGAGUGGCGAACGGGUGAGUAACACGUGAGUAACCUGCCCCCUUCUUCUGGAUAACCGCAUGAAAGUGUGGCUAAUACGGGAUAUUCUGCGCCUGCUGCAUGGUGGGUGUGGGAAAGAUAUUGUUUCGGUGGGGGAUGGGCUCGCGGCCUAUCAGCUUGUUGGUGGGGUGAUGGCCUACCAAGGCGGUGACGGGUAGCCGGCCUGGGAGGGUGGACGGUCACACUGGGACGGAGACACGGCCCAGACUCCUACGGGAGGCAGCAGUGGGGAAUAUUGCACAAUGGGCGCAAGCCUGAUGCAGCGACGCCGCGUGAGGGAUGGAGGCCUUCGGGUUGUAAACCUCUUUCGCCAGUGAAGCAGGCCUGUCCCUUUUGUGGGUGGGUUGACGGUAGCUGGAUAAGAAGCGCCGGCUAACUACGUG
rnacentral:rRNA from 1 species